rnacentral:misc_RNA from 1 species
UUUCCGUAGGCGAACCUGCGGAAGGAUCAUUAUUGGAUUUCGAAACUUCAGGCUGCUGCUGGCUCUCCUCGGAGGGCAUGUGCACGCUUGUUGUCCAUUAUUUCUCCCACUGUGCACAAAUUGUAGACCUUUCAGUAGGCCUAUGUUGUUUUUCACAAUCUCUGAAUGUAAUAGAAUGGUUUUGAAUCUUGGGAAAUACAAUACAACUUUCAGCAACGGAUCUCUUGGCUCUC